rnacentral:siRNA from 1 species
CCACCUACCAAUGUUUUGUUC